rnacentral:rRNA from 1 species
UACGUAGGGUGCGAGCGUUAAUCGGAAUUACUGGGCGUAAAGCGUGCGCAGGCGGUCUGUUAAGACCGAUGUGAAAUCCCCGGGCUUAACCUGGGAACUGCAUUGGAAACUGGCGGACUCGAGUGUGGCAGAGGGGGGUGGAAUUCCGCGUGUAGCAGUGAAAUGCGUAGAGAUGCGGAGGAACACCGAUGGCGAAGGCAGCCCCCUGGGCUAACACUGACGCUCAGGCACGAAAGCGUGGGGAGCAAACAGG